rnacentral:misc_RNA from 1 species
UGGGUCAGACAGCUCAUUGAAAAAUUCCAACCCAAAUCUGAUGAUGUGUGAUAAUGUACAAUACAAUGUUCUUUGCCUAAUUUUAAGCAUAUUUAUACUGUCAAUAACUGAAUGUUUUAUACCUUAUACAGUUUUUUUUUUAAAUCAAAUUUGAUAUGUCCUCUUUUUUGUCAAAUGGUUGUGACUAUUACAUAACACUGCGCCAUUUCUACUUACAAAAAUAAUAUUCACAUUCAUAAACAUGCAAUUCCUGUGCAAGAUUUGUGUUUUGCUUUUAAUUUCAGUACCUAUGUUAGACCACUAACAGGUUAAUAGCUGUGAUAUAAUUCAUUGACACUAUUGAGUUAUCUUUCUUAUGUUAACUCUCUUUUUUUUAUUAAAUCCUAUUUGCUUGGCUCUUAGUUAUAAGUGGAGUUACUUUCUAGACACGAAAUAAUCAUAAACUAGUGAUUAUCAUGUAAUGUUUUUAUUCAUUGUCCUACAGUAAUUGCCUUAUGAACAUGCAAAUGUCUCAAUGUGAUUAGUAAGUGCUAUUCAGAAGUGCGCUGUACAUAAGGAACAGAUCAUAAAUGUGCAAUCUGUAAAGUUCUGUAACGGAAUCAUACAAUAACACUGCAAGCCUUGAAUCAGCAUAAACUAUGCAAUUUUUUCAUACUUUGUAAAUUGUAAUAUAUUUCAGUGCCUUGUAUUUGUUAUAUAUUUUAUAAUUUUGUCUAUACACAGGUAUGGUCAUUUUGUUUUAUGAAUUGACUAUGAUGCACUGGUGCGUUCAUUGAUCAAAUUUAAGAUUUUAUAAUAAAAAUAAAACGAUCUAAAAUAUAU